rnacentral:tRNA from 1 species
GCCCCAGUGGUGCAGUGGGUAGCACUCUUGCCUCAUAGCAAGUAGGUCCUUGGUUUGGAUCCCAGUCCAAAGGCA